GAUGAACGCUAGCUACAGGCUUAACACAUGCAAGUCGAGGGGCAGCGGGAUUGAAGCUUGCUUCAAUUGCCGGCGACCGGCGCACGGGUGAGUAACGCGUAUCCAACCUUCCGCUGACUCGGGGAUAGCCUUUCGAAAGAAAGAUUAAUACCCGAUGGCAUAGUUCUUCCGCAUGGUAGAACUAUUAAAGAAUUUCGGUCAUCGAUGGGGAUGCGUUCCAUUAGGUUGUUGGUGGGGUAACGGCCUACCAAGGCGACGAUCAGUAGCCGGACUGAGAGGUUGAACGGCCACAUUGGGACUGAGAUACGGCCCAG
rnacentral:rRNA from 1 species